GGCUUGGUAGCUCAAUAGGAAGAGCAUCAGAUACCAGAUAUGAAGAGUGUCGGUUCGAACCCGGCUCAAGUCC